UAGGGAAUCUUCGGCAAUGGGGGCAACCCUGACCGAGCAACGCCGCGUGAGUGAAGAAGGUUUUCGGAUCGUAAAGCUCUGUUGUAAGUCAAGAACGGGUGUGAGAGUGGAAAGUUCACACUGUGACGGUAGCUUACCAGAAAGGGACGGCUAACUACGUGCCAGCAGCCGCGGUAAUACGUAGGUCCCGAGCGUUGUCCGGAUUUAUUGGGCGUAAAGCGAGCGCAGGCGGUUUGAUAAGUCUGAAGUUAAAGGCUGUGGCUCAACCUUAGUUCGCUUUGUAAACUGUCAAACUUGAGUGCAGAAGGGGAGAGUGGAAUUCCAUGUGUAGCGGUGAAAUGCGUAGAUAUAUGGAGGAACACCGGUGGCGAAAGCGGCUCUCUGGUCUGUAACUGACGCUGAGGCUCGAAAGCGUGGGGAGCGAACAGG
rnacentral:rRNA from 1 species